CUCCUUAAACGUGGCAUGUGGGACCACAAUUCUUUACUUUACUUUCAACAAUCUAGGAUAGGGCAACAUGCACAUGGGCAAUUUCCUGCCCACCUGUUUGUAUUCAUAAACAUACAUAUAAGCAAUGUUGUGUUGUUGGGUGGGACAUGUUUACAACCCCACCUGGGUUACUAUGAGCUCAUAAGAACCAAACAUUUCUUUUUUGCCAUCCCCCACCCCCAGCACAGCAUGUAG